rnacentral:rRNA from 1 species
GAUUAACGCUAGCGGCAGGCCUAAUACAUGCAAGUCGAACGGUAACAGGGUAGCAAUACCGCUGACGAGUGGCGCACGGGUGCGUAACGCGUAUGCAAUCUACCUUUAACAGGGGAAUAGCUCAGAGAAAUCUGAAUUAAUACCGCAUAAUAUAGUGAGUGGGCAUCCACUUACUAUCAAACCUUCGGGGGUUAAAGAUGAGCAUGCGUAUCAUUAGCAGUUGGUGAGGUAACGGCUCACCAAGGCUACGAUGAUUAGGGGGUCUGAGAGGAUGAU